UACAGAGGUCUCAAGCGUUGUUCGGAUUCAUUGGGCGUAAAGGGUGCGUAGGCGGCGCGGUAAGUCGGGUGUGAAAUCUCGGGGCUUAACUCCGAAACUGCAUUCGAUACUGCCGUGCUUGAGGACUGGAGAGGAGACUGGAAUUUACGGUGUAGCGGUGAAAUGCGUAGAUAUCGUAAGGAAGACCAGUGGCGAAGGCGGGGUCUCUGGACAGUUCCUGACGCUGAGGCACGAAGGCCAGGGGAGCAAACGGGG
rnacentral:rRNA from 1 species